GAUGAACGCUAGCGGCAGGCCUAAUACAUGCAAGUCGGACGGGAUUCGGGUGCUUGCACCUGAUGAGAGUGGCGCACGGGUGCGUAACACGUAUGUAACCUACCUUAGUCAGGGGGAUAGCCUCUCGAAAGAGAGAUUAAGACCGCAUAACAUCAUUGAAUGGCAUCGUUUGAUGAUCAAAUAUUUAUAGGACUAAGAUGGGCAUGCGCAACAUUAGCUAGUUGGUCUGGUAACGGCAUACCAAGGCUACGAUGUUUAGGGGAUCUGAGAGGAUGACCCCCCACACUGGUACUGAGACACGGACCAGACUCCUACGGGAGGCAGCAGUAAGGAAUAUUGGUCAAUGGACGGAAGUCUGAACCAGCCAUGCCGCGUGCAGGAAGACGGCCCUAUGGGUUGUAAACUGCUUUUGCAGGGGAAUAAACCUCGGUACGUGUACCGAGUUGAAUGUACCUUGAGAAUAAGGAUCGGCUAACUCCGUGCCAGCCGCCGCGGUAACAC
rnacentral:rRNA from 1 species